rnacentral:lncRNA from 1 species
UUUAGGAAACUUAUCACAAAUAAUAACAAUAGCACAUGAAAAUUUCAAAUACCAACAGGGCAUGCAUCAUAAAUACUAUAGUUGAUGUACGACGGAGUUCAGCUCGGGUACCACGAGUAAAAAGAGUCCCGAAUCAUACAAAAGUAUAACGUAACAUAGUCAGGCCCCAAAGUGACCACACAAAUAGUACAAAACAAUAAUAGUACACAAAUAAUACAACCAUCUCACCCAACAUGUCAUGCUUAGCUUGAUCAUUCAGGUCACGUUGAACUCCACCUCCAGCAUGUCAAGCUUAGCUUGAUCAUUCGAGUCAUAUUAGGCUCCUCCUUCAAUUCAACCAUGCAGUUCAUAUUUUGUAACUAUCUUGUGAAUACAGUAACUGCUUCACCAUAGGACCUUGAGUUGCUUCAUCCCUUAAUAGAAAAACCAUGCUCAGAGGGUGUUUUCUUCUUUUCAGCCAGAAAUGGCGUAAACAUCAAUAUCACUCCGAGUCCUCCAGCAACAUUCAGGAUAAAGAAAACCAUAUGAGUGCCUG